CUUCUUGGUUUUUCUUUUCUUUUUCAUUUUUCAUUUUUCUUUUUUGAAUUUAUUAUUUAAUAGACAGCCCCACCAGAUUGAGUGGAAGUAAUUUUACCAUUUUUAACAGAUAAUUGAUAAGACAAUGUUCCUUCAACAUCAU
rnacentral:ribozyme from 13 species